rfam:Cicer arietinum chromosome Ca3, whole genome shotgun sequence.
GGAGGUCAGUGAUGUGUUUAAUUUGCCUACAUUGUCUGAUUAUCUUUUAUAGAUUUGAUGUUUUCAAAUAACCUGAGACCUCA